GGGUCUUAGGGGGUGUCCCCCUAAUCAGGCCUUUCGAGCUUGUGACCCGGGUUCAAAUCCCGGCCGCGGCA
rnacentral:tRNA from 1 species